AAAGUUCCGCAAGGGGCGAGUAUAGUGGCGCACGGGUGAGUAACACGUGGACAACCUGCCUAAUAGUGGGGGAUAACAUCUCGAAAGGGGUGCUAAUACCGCAUAAGACUUUGAUACAAAAGUAUUGGAGUUAAAAGGAGCAAUUUGCUAAUAGAGGGGUCCGCGCCUGAUUAGCUAGUUGGUGAGGUAACGGCUCACCAAGGCGACGAUCAGUAGCCGUCCUGAGAGGGAGGGCGGCCACACUGGAACUGAGACACGGUCCAGACUCCUACGGGUUUUUUAGUGGGACGAAUACGGGAGGCAGCUAGUCCUUCUCGUGGAUAACUCANUCCUCCCGGAGAUCUGCG
rnacentral:sRNA from 1 species